rnacentral:rRNA from 1 species
AGAACGAACGCUGGCGGCGGGGCUUAGGCAUGCAAGUCGAGCGAGAAAGCCGCAAGGUGAGUACAGCGGCGUAAGGGUGAGUAAUAGGUAGUCAACGUAUCCACCAGACGCGAAUAAUAUCUACGAAAGGGAUGGUAAUGCGCGAUGAGACCACGCUCUUUUCGGAGAGAGGGGUCAAAGGUCGGGGAUCCUUCGGGACCUGGC